UACGUAGGGUGCAAGCGUUGUCCGGAAUUAUUGGGCGUAAAGAGCUCGUAGGCGGUUUGUCGCGUCUGCUGUGAAAAUCCAGGGCUUAACCCUGGACCUGCAGUGGGUACGGGCAGACUAGAGUGCGGUAGGGGAGAUCGGAAUUCCUGGUGUAGCGGUGAAAUGCGCAGAUAUCAGGAAGAACACCAAUGGCGAAGGCAGCUCUCUGGGACGGUACUGACGCUGAGACGCGAAAGCGUGGGGAGCGAACAGG
rnacentral:rRNA from 1 species